UACGUAGGGUGCAAGCGUUAAUCGGAAUUACUGGGCGUAAAGCGUGCGCAGGCGGUUGUGCAAGACCGAUGUGAAAUCCCCGGGCUUAACCUGGGAAUGGCAUUGGUGACUGCACGGCUAGAGUGUGUCAGAGGGGGUAGAAUUCCACGUGUAGCAGUGAAAUGCGUAGAGAUGUGGAGGAAUACCGAUGGCGAAGGCAGCCCCCUGGGAUAACACUGACGCUCAUGCACGAAAGCGUGGGGAGCAAACAGG
rnacentral:rRNA from 1 species